GCCUCGUUAGCAUGUUUGGUAGCGCGUCUGUCUUGUAAGCGCUAGGCCGCGGAUUCGAUUCCCGCGCGGGGCG
rnacentral:tRNA from 1 species